GCUGUGAGAAAAAGAUAAGAAAAGCCAGCGCGAUCCUCUUGCCCAUGCAUGGACAUGGCGGAACCGGCCGUAGUAGAAAGUCUACGACUCGUGCAUUUUACCAGAGAGAUCCUUUCCGCUAGGUAGCCGAGCAAAAAUCUACACGCACUCCGUCGGCGUCGGUGACCAUGGGCUUGCUGGCCGGAGACGGCGGUAGCGGCGGCCUUGGCUACAACACGAGCUGCGGGAAGACCAGCGGCCUGGUGUGGAACCUGACGUCCUCCUAUGCGGACCAGAGCAACGAGGCCUCCAUGCUGUCCGCCACCGUCAUCAUGUUCCUCCUCGCCGCGCUCUUCUUCAACCUCAACCUCUUCAGCGGCCUCUCCGACACCAGCGCCAUCCUCGACCCCAAGGUCCGCGUCGUGCUCUCCAAGGCGCUCUCCCUCUUCCUCCCCGUCAUGUCCUACCUCUUCUCCGAGGCCAAGAACGCCGGCGGCCUCGCGUGCGCCGGCGCCGCCGCGGCGUCCGAGCUCCCGCUGCGGGCCCGGCUGAUCCUCACGUGGAUGCUCCUCGUGGAGCUCCUCGGCAACAAGGUGGAGGAGAUCCGCAUGCAGCGGGGGGACGACGGCUGGCACAGGGGCACCGUGGAGCGCGCCGGCCGCGUCGUCUGGCUCGGGAGCCUCGUCUUCUUCAACCUGCGCGGCGCCGGGCGCAAGUCCGUGCUGGGCAUCCUCUGGCUCCUCUGCGUGGCCAAGCUGGUGCAGAGGGUCACCUUCACCUUGGUGGGGAAGAACUCUCUCGCCUACGGGAAGAACGCACGCCUCAUCAUCUCCUACAUGCAUGCGCCUCAUGACCAGUCGCUGCAGCAGCAGCAUGGAGACGACGCCGACCACGGCGACGAGCUCUUGAAGGGGUGUCGGUACGCGGUGAUGGGAGAAGACAAGCUGGUGAAUAAGCCAACCCCGGCUGGCUACAGCGUCAGAGGUGACAUCACCACCGCCGAGACGACGACGACCGUCGGGAAAAUCUGGCGACUUGCAGAGACCGACCCCCUCCUUGGCUCCGUCGACCAAGAUGGGCGGCUGCGGAGGCUCUGCCUCUCCUUCGCGCUCUUCAAACUCCUUCGCCGGAGUUUCGAGCACCUGCCGCCGAUGAGCGAGGCCGAGACCCGCGACUGCCGGGGCCUCAUCUUCUUCGAAGGAGGCUUGUACAGCAGCAGCAAGAGGAGCAACCGGAGCAAUGGCCAAGGAGAAGUCGAGAAGGCAGCAUUAGCAGCAGCAGAGGAGUUGUUCCAGGUGAUGAAGGACGAGACCAUCUUCCUGAGCGAGUACUACCACUCCGUCGUCCCCGUGGCCUUGGCGAGCCCCUUCUUCCUGCUCGCAAACUACCUGCUCCUCCCGGCCAUGGUGCUGCUCCUGUGCCUCGUCAUCGUCGUCCUCUGCGGCAACGGCGACGUGCUCUUCGCUUUCCACAGCCUGAGGAGCGACAACUACAGCGUCUCGUUCGGGGUGGUCAGGAUGGCGAGGUGCCUCUUGACGAGAGUCCUCAGUUCCCCGUCGGUCUUCUUCUCCACCAUCGACCUCUCCAUCACCUUGCUCCUCUUCCUCGUGCUGGUGUACGAGCAGGUGUGGGAGUUUGUGGUCUUCCUCUUCUCCAACUGGUUCCUCGUGUCCAUGCUCCACGGGUACGCCGCCAAGCCCCACUGGCGCCGGAGCGCCACCUUCAGCUGGGCCAUCCGCCGCAUGCUCUGGGUGCGGAGCAAGAUGAGCCACCCGGACAUCACCAUGAGGCAGUUCUCCGCGCUGAGGUCCUGCCGUCUCGGCCGCCAACUGAGGAUGGUGCCGGCCGUCUCGCUGACGCUGCCGACCAUCGCCGUGCCAAAGGAGGUGAAGCAUUCCAUCGCCGAGUACUUAUCAGCGACGUCGCUGCAGGAGGAGGACGACUACGACCCCACCGCCACUCGUCGUGGUCUUCUCAGCAACGGCCAGCUCGCGGUCGCCGAGUACGGGGAGCUCCGGCGUGCGUGCAAGACCGAGAGCAUCGCCGAGGUGAUCCUCGCGUGGCACAUCGCCACCUGCCUCUUCGAGGAGAAAUUUCCGUCACCGUGCGCCUCGCCCUCGCGUGACAUGGUUGUGGCGACGACGCUGUCCAAGUACUGCGCCUACCUGGUAGCCUUCCACCCGGAGCUACUGCCGGAAAACGAGGAGAGCACAGAGCGCGUCUUCGAGAUCAUGGAGGAAGAUCUGAGGCGUACGGUCGGCUUCUGGCGCUACCACCUCACGGCGGCGGUGGCGCCGCUGCUGGGCUCCGGGUACGAGCAGAUCAUGCGCCUGGAGGAGAAGCCGAACCUGGCCCAGGCGCUGGAGUUGGCGGAGAUGUCGGCGCUGCAGAGGGGGGCCAUCCUGGAGCGCGCGCUGGAGAAGGAAGCCAAGUGCGCCGCCGGCGUGGAGGGGAUGUGGAAGGUGCUGGCUGAUCUGUGGGUGCAGCUCAUGGUGUACGUGGCACCGUCGGGGGGCGAGGAGCACGUCAUGGGGCACGCCAAGGUGCUGCCGGAGGGCGGCGAGUUCGUCACCGUGCUCUGGGCGCUGGCCACGCACAUCGGCAUGCGCCGCGCGGCGCCGGUGGCUGUCGGUAGCAUGGAACAUGUUUAGGAGGAGGGUUAUGUGUGAAUUUAUUAUAGAUGAUGUAGGUGUUACCUUUAAGUGUUGUGUCAGUGAGUUGUGUGAUCAGAAUGAUUUCCCUACCACGGGGAUGGACUCCGGCAGGUCGAACUCGGCGAUCUUCGCGGCGGCGGCAUCGACGGGAUCCAGUCGACUGCCACGCGGCCGCCGGCGAGCUUCAGCUGCAGCUUCUCGGGGCGGAGCAUCACCACCACGGCCCGAACGAUCACUGCCACGGCCAGCACGGUCACCAUGGACGCCACCGCCCACCGCGCCACGUACAGCCAUCUGAACCUUCUGGUCGCCGCCUUGCUCUGGUCGGUGGCUGCCAUAUGCAUCAGUCUGGAACUCUGGAGUACUGGCUAAGCUACAGUCGUUAGAGAUGUACACGUAGCAUGCAUCAAUUAGCUAGCUACCACUGCGUACGUCUUCGUGAAUGAGAUCCACUUCCGCUAUCUAUUUAUAGAUAAUUUGCUCUCGGCGAGCGAUAUCCGUUGAAUUAUGCGCGCACAUGUA